AGGAGCCGUGUGCGUUAAUAUCGCAAGCACGGUUCUGUGAGGGAGAGGAACACAAUCUACCGUAAGGUAGAGAGGUUCCUUUCUACUCGAC
rnacentral:ncRNA from 2 species